GACGAACGCUGGCGGCGUGCUUAACACAUGCAAGUCGAACGGUGAUCUUGAGAGCUUGCUCUUGGGUGAUCAGUGGCGAACGGGUGAGUAACACGUGAGUAACCUGCCCCUGACUCUGGAAUAACUUCGGGAAACCGAAGCUAAUACCGGAUAUGACACAGAGCCGCAUGGUUUCGGCGUGGAAAGCUUUUCGGGUGGGGAUGGACUCGAGGCCUAUCAGCUUGUUGGGGAGGUAAUGGCUCACCAAGGCGACGACGGGUAGCCGGCCUGAGGGGGGGGCCGGCCACACUGGGACUGAGACACGGCCCAGACUCCUACGGGAGGCAGCAGUGGGGAAGACUGCACAAUGGGCGAAAGCCUGAUGCAGCGACGCCGCGUGAGGGAUGAAGGCCUUCGGGUUGUAAACCUCUUUCAGUAGGGAAGAAUCGCAAGUGACGGUACCUACAGAAGAAGCACCGGCUAACUACGUGCCAGCAGCCGCAGUAAAAC
rnacentral:rRNA from 1 species